AAUAAACUUAAUUUUCGUUUUUCCAUGUACAACGUUUAAUCAUUCGUCUUAUUAAAAAAUUUUACGAUAAAUAUUUUUAUUGUUACUAGAUGAUAAAAUAUGAAUAGUAUUUUAUACGUGAUUUUUUUAAUUUUUAUAUAAAAUUUUUAAAUAAGACGAAUAGUCAAACGUUAAACACGAAAAA
rfam:Oryza brachyantha chromosome 8, whole genome shotgun sequence.